GUUUCCGUAGUGUAGUGGUUAUCACGUUUGCCUGGUUGGUCGCGAAAGGUCCCCAGCUCGAAACUGGGCGGAAACA